AUCGCUUCUCGGCCUUUUGGCUAAGAUCAAGUGUAGUAUCUGUUCUUAUCAGUUUAAUAUCUGAUACGUCCCCUACCCGGGGACCAUAUAUUAAAUUGAUUUUUGGAGCAGGGAGAUGGAAUAGGGGCUUGC
rnacentral:snRNA from 1 species